CUGGGUGCUCCUGGUGGUCCUGCACGAUCGGCUGUGCAGUAGGCUUGUCAAGGAGAGGAUCCUCCCUGGCCUCUCCUUGGGCAGAGGAGGUGGUCCAUAAAGCUGCUCUGGAGCCAAAAUAUUGUAGUCACAUCUCGGCAGCGACCUGCCCUCAGGUGGCAUUUUCAAGUCAUGGAGAAGGUGGAGAGAGAAGCAAUCAGCAGCCACCCACUGCAGCUGGAGACCCCAGAACUUGGUGACUGCCUCCCAUGGCACCGGGAAGGGUGGAGGCAGGUUAGAAAAAUCAUCCCCUGUCUCCCACAGCCACCAGAGCAGGGCUCUGGCUCACAGGUGCCUUUAGGAGUAACAUUUCACUUGAGGGCUACACUGCCCCAUUUUAUAGGUGGGGAAACAAAGGCCUGGAGGGCUAGGGAGGAGGGCAGGCUCCCCA